rnacentral:rRNA from 1 species
GACGAACGCUGGCGGCGUGCUUAACACAUGCAAGUCGAACGGAAAGUCCCUGCUUUUGUGGGGUGCUCGAGUGGCGAACUGGUGAGUAACACGUGAGUAACCUGCCCUUGACUUUGGGUUAACUUCAGGAAACUGGGGCUAAUACCGGAUAGGAGCUCCUGCUGCAUGGUGGGGGUUGGAAAGUUUCGGCGGUUGGGGAUGGACUCGCGGCUUAUCAGCUUGUUGGUGGGGUAGUGGCUUACCAAGGCUUUGACGGGUAGCCGGCCUGAGAGGGUGACCGGCCACAUUGGGACUGAGAUACGGCCCAGACUACUACGAGAGGCAGAAGUGGGGAAUAUUGCAGAAUGGGCGGAAGACUGAUGCAGCAACGACGGGUGCGGGAUGAAGGCCUUCGGGUUGUAAACCGAUUACGACUGUGACGAAGCGUGAGUGACGGUAAUGGGUAAAGAAGAACCGGCUAACUACGUG